UUUUUUAUUUGAAAUGGGUUUUAGAGGGAACAGAGAGGCUAUUUGAAUUAUAUGAGCUUUUAUUUCAUAAACUCAACACUCUUCCCCUCCUCCCUUCUGCUUUCCAAACAGCAGUGAAGGCAGACAGCAUUUUAAUAGCCCUUAAUAAAACUCUUGUUUAAGUUAAUGUAUCAUUAAAUUGAAAUAGAACGGUUUAUACAGUGUCAUUUUCUCUGCUGUGCUCAAGGAGCCUGCUGCUAUCAGAUCCGGUCUCUCCCUCACUCUGUGUAGGUAUGUGCGUGUGUGUGUGUGUGUGUGUGUGUGUGUGUGUGUGUGUGUGUGUGUGUGUGUGUGUGUGUGUGUUGAGGGUUUAUUGACACUUAGCCUGAGAAGAGUAAUUGGAGCACUGAAGAGAAAUGAGAGCGAGGAGACAGAGAGAUAGAGGAAAAAGAGAUGAGAUAGAGGCUCUAAUCUAUGGGGUGUCAGUUCAAUUCCAGAUGAAAUCCACCACGGCUCUGAUGAGGAAAGGCCUGGAGGUGCACAUCUAAUAGGAGGGAUUGGGAGAGAGAUGGCUCCAAUCUACAGGUCAAUCCUUUUUAGAGUUCUCCACCGCUGAAAGAACAGAGGGAUCCUUAGAGCUGCUGCAAACACAAGAAAACCUGUCCGCUCAAAGCUGAACCAUCAUGAAUCACUAACUGUAUGAUAGACGAGCUUCAGCCUGUUAGUUUUAUAUGUGAAGCCAAUGUGUCAGUGUCUAAAACUGGCAUUAUUUAAAAGAGCUGCAGGGGUGGAUCCGAAGUCUGUUGUUUAAUAAAACAUCUAGUUCCUACACAUAGGUCAUCCUUUCGCUUUCAUUUAAAACAUGACCAAAACAUGGACCCUGCAGACAAAACCUUCAAAGAAAAAACAUUUAAAUUGGUUGAGUACGUUGCUCCAUUUUUGGCUUGUAGAAACAGACAGACACCACAAUGAAAGUUAAAAAAGGCAACACUUUGGGCUCUAUUUUCAUGCCUCGCCAGUGGCGUGGCCUAAGCACAGCAUAUGUCAGGUCUGCCACGCCAACGAGGCAUGCCCAAGCAGAUUUUGGUAUUUUGCUCAGCAGGCAGCCCGGCGUAAGUAUCCCCCCUCCCAGUGGCGUAAGUAGAAAAGAGGAAGGGGAGCAGGCGUGGAUGGGGCUUAACACAGCCGAGUCCAAUUAGCGCCAAUCCUAUCAGCUCCAUUCCUCCCCUUUAAAUCCGCUGCUGGCGAGGCAUAUUGCUAUUUUUGUGGAGUACUCAAAAAAAAAAAAAGGCUGAAGACAGCAGUGUGAGACAACGGAAAUUCUGCCAGGAGGAGAUUCAUGUUCUGGUUCGGGAGGUCCAGGCUCAUAGUGGCCAGCCAACCUUGGUGCGCCUCAGUCUACCAAAAUACCAAACUGGCUGUGUGCCGGGCUACUGCGCGGGAUGCGCCACCACGGGUAUGAAAACAGGGCCCAUUGAGCAGCACGCAAGGAGGCUCUAGACAAACUUUAUAAACAUUUUAGGUCAACAGAUUAUGGGUACAGGACAAGCCAGCCUUCUGCCUUCCAGCAUAAAAAUUAACUAACAGCAAGCCAGAAAGAAUCCUACCCGCCCACUACCAACUCACAUAUCUUCAUCAGAAGCCCUAUCAACUCCUGAGCCAUGGCCCCCGUUGGCUACUCCCAGGAGAGGUACCCCCCUGCCAGCUCUCUGAGAUCCUACCGUUCAUGCAGAAGAGGAGCCACAUGACAGGCUAAAUGCUGCCUUUAUUCAUGAAAGGAUGCAGACAGCCUGAAGCAAAAAGCCUGAGUGAAGAGAAAUUGUUCAAAACCAGUUCCAAUGAUACCUGUAAUCCGGAAGUGGAAGUUUAGGCUUUGAUGAUCUAACUCAUAGAAAAUCUUCCACAGGGGGACUACAGAAGGGGGGGUCAGAGGAGGGGCUGAAACACUGAUAUGAAAAUUAAAGAAGAAGAAAAACACAGAAAAUGGUGAAGGUCACAGAGGCCAACCUGAAGUAAUUUAAGGUCCCCAUGGAGUGCAGAAAAGAUGUGUGACUAACCACUCAGCCAAACUGAAAUGAUAAAAGAAAUUAUCAUUUCAAAUGACCUUUUACUAAACUUGCAAAGCACAACAGUGCAUCAGGAAGCUUCCCCUUGAAUCUGUCCAAAAACUCAUGAGCAAGAAAAUCUCUUUUAUUUAUUGAGGUUAAAAUUCUUCUGGGUUCACAGACUUUUCAUGUUUUCGACAACUGCUAAGUUUUUAAGGGCACAAAUCAGUGGCUCCCUAACUUCUUAGAUUAAGUCUGUCAGAAACACUUAGUUUCCCAAAGUUACCAAACCUACUGUGCCUGAUUUGAUUUGAAGCUGAUAACCGAGAUGUUCAGGCAUCAUUUCAAACCAUGUCUUUGUCAGCAGUGUGAGGUCACAGCAAGGGGAGACAUGAGGAUGGAUGAGGACAGAGAGCAUGUCCAGGGUCAGCAGUCUGCUGUGUCUUUAAAGCAGUAAUGCUGUUAUCUCAGGGAGAGUACCUGUCACUAAUCUGAUUGUGGUCCUUUCAUUCUCCCUGUGGCAGAUUGAUGCUGAAUAAUCAAAGCUAGUGGUGCCCAGACAAAGCACAGGGCCACAGGGAUUAGUUCCCGUCUAGAAGACAUUGAUUUGGUUUUCGUGCCCACAAAUAUUGAUGGAGUGCAGGGUGGAGGGACCAAAAUACACGGCCCAUGAUCAUAGCUCUAUUUUACGCUCUCAAGUUUUGUGUUGCUCUGAAACACAGGAAGAGGAAAAAAACACCAAAGCUGAAUUUUAAAAUGUGUGUUUUACAAUUUCACUCAGACAUGCAAACUUAACAGUUAGGAGUAUUCUCAGUACUUCACUGGAUAAACUCAACAUUAAACUCCCCCUGUAUGCAGGCCUGCCUGUAGCACGCAAAUCUCUGAAAGUAGUAUGGGAGGUGUUGCUAUUUUUCCAGUCUUAUAACUAAGAUCUACCUCUGCUUUUUUCCUGUUUUCUGCAUAUGCAAAUAACUUUUUCCUUCAGAAUUUGGUCUAACAUCUCUGAAAAAACCUCGGGUUUGAUUGUCCGUGACCUUAAAUCCCUGAAUCCCUUUCUUGCCUUCCUGUUCUUCCCCAGAGUCACGUCAGCACAGCUAUCACAUGAAACAUCAAGUGAAGUCUGGUAAUGACAUGCCUUGAAGACAGGGUGGUUAAACCUGCAGAGAAAUUUCUCAUUUCCGUGGACUUAGCCUCCUUUACCCUUCGACGUGGGUUUAAUGUUCUUACAGUUCAAGUCUGGGCCUCAGUUACAGUCCGCCCUGUACUGUGAGCUGUCAGUCCAUCUCCUGUGGUGUCCUCGCUCAACAUCAGCAGUGGGCUGAUUGAGUUGCAGCUGUAAUGGCAGAUGCCUGUCAGUCUCACCUCGUGUGAUUGAUGGGUUUUAACUUCACUGUUGGCAUGUGGGAAUUUAUAAGUAUAACUUGUUCACCCCUUAAACGAAAAGGUCAGAAUAACUCAAAGUGACUGCUGAGAAACAACUCACUAACUUGCACACCAGACUGGCACUUGAUUUAAUGGAGAGAAGAUUAAUCUAAUUGCAGUUUUAUAUCUUCCAGCAGCUGGCAAAGUGUGCUUCACAUUUCAUAGCAAGGGAAUUAGCUGUUUCUCAGGAUGCCUUAGUAAUAAUGUGUGAGGCUGAUAAGAAGGGAGUACAAAUAGAUGAUGUUGGAUUAUUUUGCAUCACAUUGAGUCUUAUUUGAGCUGCAUUGAGUGUAAUUCUUGUUUAAUGCACAUUCAAAAAAGGAGCCUUUAAUCUUGUUGUGCUAGGAUUGUUCAACAGGCAGAGUUUAAGAAUUUAUCAUACUGAAAUUUUACACAAUCAGACACAUUAUCAUGAAGUGAGGCAGAGGUUGAUAUACAGGUAGGCAGUUGGAUGAGGAGGAGGUUUCUAAAAAACAAAAAAUCAAAAAAAGGCAAGGAAGGUCUAUAACAAUGACUAUAACACGACUAUAACCAUGACUAUGGCUGUGGAAAGAGUGCUGGUAUGUGGACUAUGAAGUGCAAUGGAUUGGCAAUGAGAUGGCUGAAUCUGAGGCCAUGUUCACACGUAGCCAAGUGUUUGCUUAAACAAAUAUACUUUUAUACGUUCUGUCCUGCCAUCCACAUGAAACCGCAGGAUUGCGUCAUUUAAAACAGUGCUUUUGGAAAACUGAAAAAAGUGAAGAUCUAAGUUGGAAAACUCCAGUUUUGUGUUUGCAUGUGGACAUACAGUAGAUAACCAGAGUUUUAAAUUCCCAAAUAUCAUUGUACGAUGUUGAAAUUUUUUGUUGUGGUGUACCCACCAUUGUUGUUAAUUUAUGUUUCAAUAAAUUGUUUAAUCACCAGUGCAUCCUUCUACUUAAAUGUCCUGCUUUUAAGAUAUAUCACUGUAGCAUGAACUUUUUUCAUUUUCCAUAAAUUUCACCUGAAAGCCAAAUAUCCCCAACUUUUUGUGAGUAGUGUAUGUUACACAUGUUUAUCUCACUAUCUGUCCCUCAGAAAGAAAAGAAUAAACUCUGCACCUUCUGUCUUUCGAAGACAAUACCAGUAAAACAGAUCAAUUUGUAUUAACCAAAAGUUUCAUUUGCAAAAGGUCUUCGUUAGCCUUGGACUGUCUAAAGGUCUGCAAUCGUGUUUGUGUGACAGCCUCAGUUCAAUGACAGAGACUAGACUGGGAGCCAUCACUCCAGAUGACAACAGAUCCCAUCUGUCCUCCUGCUCAUCAUUAACCCAGCUGGCUGCGACCUGGCUGCUGUGCUGACAGAGAAAGGAGGGAUCUGGAUGAGGCUUCCUGCUGAAAAACUGUCGAGAACUUGUCCCAGCACAGACGGAGGAUUGCGUUGCAGCCUGGCACAUUUUGUUGCAAGCAGCAGGAGAACGAUUCUUGACAUUUGUGUUGUUUUUUUCUUUUGAUGGUGCUUCAGUGUCACUGCCUGUGGAGACUGUCUUCAGGCUGAAGCUGAUUUAGAUAUUUCUGUCAGAGAUGAUGAGCUUUUCCCUCUCCAGUAUGUGCUGUGAUGCCAGCUGUGCACAGCAAAAUCUUCUAAUAGGUUUUAAUGUCAUAUGCUGUGAUUACUUUUGCACAGUUGCACACUGUACAGUCAUGCAGCGAUUAUCUUUAUUACUCAUUAUCUGCUAAAAAUCUGAAUCUAAUCUGAUCAAGUCCUUUAUGUAGACAUUAAUCUGCCUGCUUAUGCAUAUUAUAAGUCCUUUGCUCGAGUUGUCGUGCCAUUAUUGAAUUAAAAUGAAAAUUUGAUUGACUAAAUACACUGUGAGGAAAUGUCUUAUGAGGAAAUAAGACGGGAUCCUUAAACAAAACAGGCCUAUUGUAGUGAGAAAUCUGGAUUUAAAUGACAGAUGAUCUCCCCAUGGUAAGUGUUCUAUCAAUAGUGUUAUUGUAUGACUGGACAAAGGAAGAAGAAAAAAUUACCACUACACUGCAUCCCAGAAUCCCAGAAGUGUGAUUGACUUGGAGUUACACUUUGUGUUGCGUAUUUGAGUUGGGCGGUAUCCAAAUUUUGAUACCGUCACCACAAGUUACUGUGGUAUAUGGUAUUUUCAUGACUGAUCAUUUUUUUACUACUUAAAGUAGUAUGAUCAGUGAUCUUUAAGUUGUGAUUAUGAAGUUUAUAGCCGAAAUCACGUCACCUAUAUCAUUUUCAAGGACUUUCUUCUGCAGAGCUCCAGUAGCUCAUUAGGAAUUCCUCUAAGUCGUGAGUGGAGACAGCACUGCUCUACACACUCCUCUUCACACUAGUUUGCAGUCCAUCAUUGCCAGUGUAGUAGAAGUGGCAGGUAACAUAGUAGCUAUUCGGCUCUCCACUAAGAUCUAUGGGGACAUGAUGAAAAUUGAUAUCAUAAUUAGCUUUCUCAUGAGCAUUGCAGUCCGCUAACGCACACGCGUCUCCUGCGAUUGUACUCUGUAUUUCUCUGAGCUUGGCUUGCAGGGCUCCGGGGGCGGAGCUUGGAUUUCGUAGGAAAUCUCACUGUAUCUGAUUCUGCCGUUUGAGUCUGCCAGAGAUUCACAGUAAUUUGAAUGCUGAAAUACCCAGAAAUGCAACUUUGCACUUACUUUUCUUAUGAUAUGUCCUGUAGCAUCAGAAAAGUGCCAUAUGAACAUGUAGACAACAAGAAAAACAUGAUUUUCAUCAGAGUGGGUCUUUAAGGCUCAGACAGCAUCACCAAACUGUUGGCUUGUGCCUACACCAUUCAGGAACUGAAUACCAAACACUAAUAAUGAAACAAUAACAACAUAAUGUGCACGAUAUUAACAACUUUUAUUAAGACAGCUUUAAAAGUGCACAACAGUCAAACAAUUAAAUUAACAGAACAACCCAGAAGUUUUUGUGCAGAAUGCACCGCACACACAUCAAUUAAAUUAAAUUACAGCCUGAACAACUUUGCAUAGCAAAAAAAAAAAAAAAAAGCAGCUUAUAGAAAAGUGGAAAAAGGUAAAAGAAACAAAUUAUACACACAUACACAGUGCCAAUGUGAGCUAGGUGGCAAGUGGCAACAGGUUUACUCAAGAUUUUAAGCCAGAAAAAAACAGCAUGUUACCUUUUUCUGGCUUUAACAGGGAACGUUGCGGACUUACAACUUUUCCUACGGUGCUGAAAUCUCGUUCAGACGGCAAACUUAUGGCACAGACACACAGGUUCUUUCUGGCCACUCAUGACAUCAGGGGAAAAUGUCUGGCAGCACAUUUCCACCACAGCAGUGGAUCCUCUUCUGCUUGGAUAACGGGCUUUAAACAGUAGGCUGUUAUUUCAGCCCCGACUCGGUCCUCUAUGGUGCCUUCAGGACUGGCUUGCCCCCUGUGCAGAUAUUUUUGCAGGAGACUUCCCAGUCAUCUCUUUUAGUGGGGGUGCGGAUUGUGAGUCUCCCUCUUCCACUUUGAUGGCAACUGGACCUGCUACUGGUGCUUGCCCCUCCAAGCUCACAAUCUUAGUCUGUAAUUCUGCCUUGGUCUCAGCCAAUGUGUUGCCAUCAGUUUUAUAUGCUCCACGGUAACGAGGGUUGAGGAAAGUGCAUUUUUGUAUCAAUUGGUGCAUUGAAUUGGAUUAAUACUUGGGCAGCUUAUUUAGAAUUCCAAUUUUGAUUGACUUUGAUAGCUGGAGGUCAUUUUCUGAAACAGCCAACACAUUGUCCCUGCAUAACUGAAGUGUGGGGCGGACAGAGGAACUGGUCACAUAAUGUUCUCCUGACAAAAUAUCAGUGAAAUCACCGACUGGUUUCAGUUAGACGUAAACAGCCCUCAGCGGUGCCUGAAUCUCGUCUCUAACUUUAAUAUAUAAAUGUGGGACGGCUGUUUGUGAGAAAUAUUUCUGUCCAGGCAGCUUGUACUGGGCGUCUAGGGCCUUUACCAUGUCCUUAAAAGGACUUUUUUUACACCGUGUGGAAAGACACCAUUUCCUUGGCCAAGUAUUUUGUCACUGCAUCAGUGCAGGUUUUCUAAUGGAUGCUGUUCCUUUUGUACUUAGUUGAUCUCUUGGAGGCUACCCAUUACUGUCAGCUGUGCAUAAGUGGUGGUGGACUUGGUAUCAGCGUUAGGUGUUGAGACUGUUGCACUGUGUGAAUCCGGGGCUAAAUGAAUCCUCGCAGCAGUGAGUGGGUGGUUGUUUCGGAGAUGAGUCCUUAGCUUAAAAGUGUUUCCACCUCUCGCGGUCACCUUUUUAUUUCAUAGUUUACAAAUAGCCUCAUCAGUAUGUACCGGCUCCCCCUCCUAGUUAGCUUAGAACCCGAAAUACUGCGAGACUGCAGAAGUCGUGUCUUUUUCUUUGCCACCAGGUCACUCGGUACGCGACUUGCCAUCUUUCUCCUCCUCUCUCUAUGUCUUUCUCCUCCAUGGUGUCACGUGAUGACGUCACAUUCAUAAACUUAACAAACAAAACUUAACAAAAGACUCCAAAAGUAAACUACUGUGCAAGUAAAACUGAAAAUUUAACUACGUGUAAGUGCUGCUGGACAAAGAAUUAUUUUUAGGCACUGAAUUGAUUAUAUCUUAUAUUAAAUCCUUAUCUCCUAUAUAAGUGCAUUGCAUAUUUUUUUAACGACGUAAUGACGGUAUUGAAACUGAUACUGUUGCUUUUGAAAGACAUCACCAGUAUACCUUAAUACUGUCCAACCCUAUUGAGUAACAUUUAAAGGCUUCAAUAUAAAUCUCAAAGUAUUUCAUAGAUGUCAAAAAAGUCCUUACAAGAGCUUUCAACAGAAGGAUCCAGAGUAUACAAACAUUCAAGUUAGAUCGCUUCACAUGUGUUUUGAAAAUGAGCAGACCUCUGGAUUUGAAUCAGAAACCCUUGUAAUGAUGAAUUCUUGAAAGAGCUGAAAUCCAAGCGAGGUACGGGAAGCUGAGCCAAUGUUUGCAGCAUACCUUUGGGACAGUCUGUGUUUAGAGGAAAAACUAAUGGGGAAUACAGAUUUUUGACAUCAAACAGCUUUUUUCCCUCAUUUAUCCUUGUGCUGAAACAAAGAAUACAUCCUCAAGAAUGAUCAAACAGGAAACUUGAGGCAUAUAAUUAAACUACGUACAUUUGAAAGUUCAUAUCAUGACUCCUUUGGUUUUCCUCAGGCACUUUGAUAUAGAAAAAACAGAUUUUUUAGACAUGUUGCCAAGUCAUACAUGUGUGACACAAAACUGUCUGCCUAAAGCCUCAUACAUACAGAAUCCGUGUUGAGCUUGCUCCGUCCGUGUCACACAGCAAAUAGGUUCCCAUUCUCGAUGCGCUUCUCAGAAGCGCAUCGAGCGCGGCUCUGCCAAAGAUACGCGCUGAGUCUAUUUUCUCUGCUCUAUGCUUCCAACAUGAGCCAGUCUAAGCAAAGAAGAUUGUUCCAGACAGGAUGUCGAGCACGAAACCGAUGUCAACAAGGUAUUUCAAAAUAAAACACCAUAUGCAGACUCCCGACUGUGUAUCAGUACGGGUAGAUGAAAUAAUUCCUGGUUAUGGAUUUAUCAGUAACACAGAACAAUCCAAUGGUCAAUGGUCAAACAUUAUUAAACAUGAGUUAACCUGCAAAAACCGGAACUGUAAAAUCACGUCGCUUUUUCACAUACAGUAGAAGCUCAACGGUCGCUAAAUAAUAUCCAAAUUAGCAGGAAAUAGACCACAGAAAGGCAAAACAACCUUUUGUGAGCAGGUUUUUCUUCUCUAUGCCGCUGCUACGCUCCAAACACGCAUCCUGUAUCCGACAGUCAGCGCUUCUCGAUUGAGCAAAUACUAAACGCGUUCAAUACAGAUCCUGUAUGUUUUGCGCUUAAGUAGCCUAAAACAACAUUUACUGGUUUGCUUAACACAACAGAGGCCUCUGUGCAUACACAUGUGCAUCUUACAAAGAUUCUUCAGAAAAUUACGUGUUCAUGUGUUAAGCAUGUUUUUUAUUUAGCUGUUUAAGCAGGACACAUUCACCAGACUAGAGAUGCAGCUGCACCUCUUUUAUCCAGCCAGAAAACAGUUUGCAUUAAUAUUUAUGACUUUGUCUUUCAUCCCAGACAUUGACGUGAUAUUAACGAUGAGAGUGUUCCCACAGAAACAUGCCUUCAUCUACCAUCAGAGGACAGAGUUUGGAGAUCAGUCAAAAGUUUUUUUUACUCUUUAUUGACUGCUGCAACUCUCUGAAGCACUAAUUAUUUUCCAUUAUAAAUUCAACACUUCUAAAGGACACUCCAGAGAGACUGUUUCCACAAGGUCUUAUGCAGGUGAGUCUGUUUAUUUUGUGGGUAAGUGGGUAGAGAGGGGUUUGGUUAAAUUCAUAGACUUUAGUACAAAGACAGUUAAUAAUCCUCUGUACUAAAAAGUCCACUGAAACUUAAACAGCUGAGAGCUGGAGUGGUACUCCACCAAGGACAGCAUGCUGCCAACCCUCCGGAGAGGAUUCUCCACAGGUGUGCUCUCAGCAGGAGUCCACUCAUGACCUAAAUUACCUCCAGCUGUGCCCCCCCCCCCCCUCCCCCAAUUGGAAUCAGCCAAUCACAAAACAUGAGAGAAAGAGAUAAAGGGAACCAGAACUCAGCAGGCUCACAGAUUUCAA